rnacentral:lncRNA from 1 species
UUGACUAAACAUAGUGGUUUUUAAGUGAAUGCGACGACUUCAACAUGUGAAGAUCAACUCCCGAGUCUCCCUGUGCCGGUGGUUUUAGUGCUGUCGGGCCUCAUACUGCCCGGGGUCACGGCUUUCUUCUUGCCAUCGACGCUCGUGCCCGGGAACUCUUACGCUUUCUCGUUGAUCGGCUACCUUGGGUUGGGGGUCGGGCCAUGGCACUCCUUCUACGCCCUCUCGCCGUCCACCUUCUUCAACAUCCGGCCGAUCGAGGGCUCUUGGAACGUUGUCGUCCCGCAAAUCGGACACCUCGCCGAUCUCCACAAUGUUACUGUCAAGUGGGCAGGACCGCUCCCCGGCCGGGAGGCCACCCCCAAAGAAGUCGGAAUUGCUCUCGCUUACCGCAUGAUAAACCAGUCGUACCUCUACCACAUGCAUCAAUGUAAUUGCCGUCACUACACAGAUUACCUAUUAUAUGGAAGGACAUUUGGUAGAUCAUACGAUAUUGCGUAUAUGCCUAUCAGAGACAACUGCCCAUUGCACCGUCAACUAAAUAGCUCACAAACGUCAACUCCCCUUCAUUCAAACUGCACGAUAAACUUGGUAACUCGUAUCCAUUAGGACCUCCAUGAACUCAUC